rnacentral:rRNA from 1 species
UACAGAGGUCUCAAGCGUUGUUCGGAUUCAUUGGGCGUAAAGGGUGCGUAGGUGGCGCCAUAAGUCAGGUGUGAAAUCUCGGGGCUCAACCCCGAAACUGCAUUUGAUACUGUGGUGCUCGAGUACUGGAGAGGAGAUUGGAAUUUACGGUGUAGCGGUGAAAUGCGUAGAUAUCGGGAGGAACACCUGUGGCGAAAGCGGCGCACUGGACCACAACUGACGCUGAGGCGCGAAAGCUAGGGGAGCAAACAGG